AUGCGCAUGGCCCAAGAAGUAGAUCCUAAUAGGGAACAGUUUGGCAAGCUACUCCCGCGGGCGGCGCCGUGGCUUAGUUGGUUAAAGCGCCUGUCUAGUAAACAGGAGAUCCUGGGUUCGAAUCCCAGCGGUGCCUUCACCGAGUAUUUAGUGUAUCUCGUACGUUUUGCCUCACUUUCGUUUUGCUGUGUUCCUCGGUCAACUAACCGCCCUUCGCUUAAGCAUCCUCACUUCCCUAGGCAUCUGGACGGCGUCCUGCAGAGGGGCGGACUGGCAGAGAAGAGAUGCCAGCCUGGCGGACCGCUUUCCCUACCUCUCCAGAGAAGUCUGACCACUAUGCUUCUUCCUCACGCGCCGCCAACCAGCGUCCAGAAGAGGGCGCAGGCGAGUCCUGCACAGCAGUGUUGAGGCACUAGGUCCCGGGUGUGGGAGUCGCGGCCACAGCCAAGUGCCCAACCUAUUUUGUGAGCUCCCAUGCUCGGAAAGAGGAGCCCCAGUCCGCUUCGCUAGUCUUUUCAACCAGUAUGAAUCCAUUCAUGGCUUCCAUUUGAAGUCUUCUUCCUUUCAAUGAAUUUUCUUCUGAUGAAAAAUUUUCUAACAAGUCAUUUACACAUGAUGGAAAAUUUUCUGUGGAUUCCGUUGCUUACUUUUAAUGCUUUGGUUGCAGAUUUUAUUACACUUUAAAUCUGAAUUUUCUCACCAUUGUUUAGUAAAUAUUUAAG
rnacentral:tRNA from 1 species